AUUUAAAUAGUUUAAUAAAAAUAUUGAAUUGUGAUUUCAAUGAUAUAUUAUAUAGUAUUUUAAAUU
rnacentral:tRNA from 1 species